rnacentral:rRNA from 1 species
AGAGUUUGAUCAUGGCUCAGAUUGAACGCUGGAGGCGUGCUUAACACAUGCAAGUCGUGCGAGAAAGGGACUUCGGUCCUGAGUAGAGCGGCGCACGGGUGAGUAACACGUGGGUAAUCUCCCUUGGUGAUCGGGAUAACAGCGGGAAACUGCUGCUAAUACCGGAUAAUCUUCAUGUUUAACUUCAUGGGGGUAAAGGUGGCCUCUGCUUGCAAGCUACCACACCGAGAUGAGCCCGCGUCUCAUUAGCUAGUUGGUAGGGUAAUGGCCUACCAAGGCUACGAUGAGUAGCUGGUCUGAGAGGAUGACCAGCCACACUGGGACUGGAACACGGCCCAGACUCCUACGGGAGGCAGCAGUGGGGAAUAUUGCGCAAUGGGCGAAAGCCUGACGCAGCGACGCCUCGUGAAGGGAUGAAGGGUCUUCGGAUCGUAAACCUCUGUCAAGAGGGAAGAAACCCUUGGAUUCGAAUAGGGUCCUUGGGCUGACGGUACCUCAAAAGGAAGCACCGGCUAACUCCGUGCANGCAGCCGCGGAAAUUACGGANGGGUGCAAGCGUUAAUCGGAAUCACUGGGCGUAAGCGCUCGUAAGGCUGGUUUGGUCAGUCAGAUGUGAAAGCCCUCGGGCUUACCGGGGGAACUGCAUUUGAUACGCCCAGACUGAGGGUCCGA